ensembl:lncRNA
AGGAUUGUAUAGGUCUCAGAGUUCUGUUAUUUAGACAUAGAUGAUUUAAUUUAACUAGUUUAGGGGAAUUUUUCUUUAGGGCUCUGAAACACACACAGAGGCUAAUAGUUUUUAAACAGAAAGUUUUUCCACCUUCUAAAAAACACAUAUUCACACGCAGCAUAUAAUUUAGCUAGUUUAGGGGUUUUUAAACAGAAAGUUUUUUCCAUCUUCUAAAAAACACAUAUUCACACACAGCAUUUAAUUUAACUAGUUUUAGGGGUAUUUUUCUUUAGGGCUCUGAAACACACAGAGGCUAAUAGUUUUUAAACAAAGUUUUUUCCACCUUCUAAAAACACAUAUUCACACGCAGCAUUUAAUUUAACUAGUUUUAGGGGUAUUUUGCUUUUUCUUUAGGGCUCUGAAACACACAGAGGUUAAUAGUUUCAAACAGAAUACCACAAACAGCAGGCAUUCCUUUAGAAAUAAACAGGGAUUCUUAAUUCUGCAACAGUUAGACCCCCUACAGUCAGCAGAAGAGGUCAUCCUUAUCAAGAGCAUCUCAAUUGUACUGCCAUAGUUUUCAAUACAAACAGUCUCCUUUAUCUUAUGGCAGAGGUCCGGCUGUGCUAGGUCCAUCGGAGCCACUAUAGCUUUUAUCAUGCCAUUACACUUUGUACUGACCAUCCUCCAAACAGGCAUCAUCUUUUGUUUACACCUUUAUCUCUGCAUCUCAGAGGUCACCUGAAACAAGCCCCACACCUAUAUAAAAAAAACGCCCUAAUCAAACACCCUGUAUUUUUCCUCACUACUUUACAUCGGUCAUUGAGAGCAUAACACUUCGUUCACCAGCACGGACAACAACCCUAAGAGCGUUCUUUUUAACAUGGACAGCAUGUAUGGUAGGUAAAACAGGACUAUUAACGGAUUCUUAAAUUUAUACAAUUGCAUAUCAAAAAAUAUUCAAACUGUUUUCUCUUCUAAACAAAAGCCUGAUUUUUAGGAACUUGGUACACUGGGACACCCCACGCGGCACUUACACAAGGAUCACAAAGCUAUAUAGGGCAAACAACACCUCUAACUAAGGAGUGCAGGAUGACGUCGGCAUCAACCAUGACGAACAGCCAGAACAUCGCCCAAGCCACAGAAGCUCUAGAGCGAGACAUGCAAGCGUGGGACCUCUCAGACUCCCCACCGCCUGCGCUGCUAAUCCAGACCCCACCACAUCCUCCCCUCUCCUCAGCUGCUGCAGGAUCCUACAGGAUCGGGUCUGUGUGAGGAAACCAUUAUCG